GCAGCACUGAGUGCAGAGGGGCCGAUGGCUACUUCAGUGAAGACGUUGGACUCCGCUAUCCACCAGCGCAGGGUGUCAGCUCCAUAGGGAGGCUCUUUGCUCGGAUCCUUUUCAUUGAAAAACAACAGGACAGGGUCUGCAUGCAGCCCAAGCUGACCACCUCAGAUCCCCUCAUCUCCACCUCCAGAGGGAUUGGAGGAAACUGGAACUUUCUUACAAACUGUACCUAUCACAACAGACUAACCCUAUGUCCUCUUCUGGACAACAGUGCCUCAGCGAGUGCCCUGUCCCAGAGCCUGGAAGAGCAGUGCUGCGGCUUGCCGAUGGCUGGCCUCUGCACAUCUGCCCCAGCCGUGUGGCACACGCGGGCAGGCACUCGGGAUUAUCACAGCAGCUUCACUUUGCACAGAGCGAGCACUUACUUGAAAGGUGCUUUUGUCCUUGUGGCCGCCCUUGUUAAUAAGGAAGACUGGAACCAGCCCCCGAGUUGGUCCUUCCCCUCCAGGUACAAGUCAGCCCUCUGCUCAGUGCCUGAAAUGGAUUAACACCAAGAUGAAGCUAACAGAACAAGAAUAAAACCAAGUGUGUGUUGGGGGCUUGAGGUAAGCAAACCGUGCUCUGCUGUGACCACACUCUGCCGCAGUGAAGCCCAUCCACCACGUGUAGAGUGCACGGAAGUCAUGUGACAGGCAGGUGUGAAUGACAGUUUAAUACACCCAAGGCCCAGCAUGACUCUCGCCCUGACCGUCCCUGGCCACCAAAACCACAUCCAGCAUUAAGUGUUCUUAAGUGUUGUGACAGUGAGAGUCAGUAGCUCUGCUGCCGAGGACAGUGAAUGAGUGCUGUCUGUUACCACUCUGCACGUGGCACGCUAGGUCCUGAGACUGAGGAGGCUGUCCCAGUGUGCCAGCAGGGCUGGAGAGAUGGCUCAGCCAUUAAAGGCGUGGCUCACUGCAAAUGUGCCUGCAGAAAAUGCACAAGUAGUGCCGCUCACCUACACGGCCUACAAAAGCACAGGGACAAAACACCUAAGCCUGCAAUAUGGCCUCAAGUGUGUCCAGGAAAACAUAGUUAGGAAAAGUACCGAAAGCUAAUAUACAAAAAUGUAUUUAAAUUAACAUCUCGUUAGCCAGCAUAAUCUUAAUGGAUGCACAUGAAUUUAUAUGUAUUUGGCUUUCCAUCUGCUGACGCUGCGAAGUCCAGAUGAAGAAUUUACAUUGAUCUGCUAGGUCCCUAGAGCACACCCCCACAGUGAGGUCUCGGGUCACACUUACUCCAUGUGAAACCUGAAGGUAAUCCUUUAGUGUCCAGCUGCACAGAGCAGCUGCUGCCUCCAGCCCCUUGCUUUAGAAAGCAGGAAGCCCUGUGGUCACAGCUGGCCCUUUGUGGGGCAUGAGGGGCUGAGCCCUGCUGUGAGUAAUCUCCCUGUACACUGUGAGGACACAUUGCUCUCACUGAUAAAGAAAGCUGAUUGGCUGGCAGCUAGGGCAGAAAGAAUGCUGGGAAGUAAGGCAGGGUCUCCAGAGUUGUGAGCCAGAUGGGAAGCAGGGAAGCAGCAGCAGGGGCAGUUCACUGACGAGGUGAUGAGCCCGGGGCAGCACAGGGAGGGAGGCAUAGGAAUGGGCUCAUCUAAGCUGUAGGAGCUGAAGACAAGCCUCGGUGUUGGCUGAGCAUUUAUAAUAAUGACGAGUCUCCGCCUGGUUGGUGGGAUAGGAAACUCUGCCCCCAGAGCCUUCCCCGACUCUAAGCUCCCUGUGCUGUCAGGUUUUCUUCAUUCUAUGUCUAACUCCUUGGGAUCCUCCAGCGUUUUCUUCUGACGCAUCUGCACACAGCUGCCUCCUCCUGUCCCCUCUGAUUCUUGACUAUGCCUCCACUGUCUUCAUCCCAUGAGUCAACACUUCCCUAGCUGGGAGUGUGAGUUGUCUGUAGUGAGAGGGCACUUAGGAAGGUUCACAGAGGGCACAAGAAUGGGGCUGGACAGCAGAGGCCCACACGUGCACUCGGACACCAGCAGCUACGUGACCUCUGUGUCCUGGCUCUAACUGGAUCCCUGGUGAGACAUGAUGGGGUCACAUUAUAACAAUGAUUUCCAAACUGGGUGCCUUGGGGUUGCCAAGUAGGCCAGAGAAGAAACUGCUGAUGAAGAGGGGGGAUUAAAAACACCACCACCACCAAAAACAAAAAAAGCUCAAAACCAAAAUAACAGAUUUUGUCGAUUGUUUAAGAGCUAGGGUAUUCUAUGUAGCUCAGGUUAACCUCCUACCUCCGUCUCCCAAGCUGACUAAAAGUUUCCAUUCAAAUUUUAACUAGUACAGUUCUAAACAAGGUUUCACCUUGAGGGAAAAAAUUAGGUAUGCUGGGAAAUCACUGGACUAAGGAUGUCCCGGGCCUUCCCAGAUCUGAACUGCAGCAGACUGCGGUGUGUGGAUGGGAAGGCCCCACAGGCUCAUCUGAAUGCUUAGUCACCAGGGAGUGAACAUGACUGGAAGGCUUAAGUGAUCGGCCUUGGAGGAAGCGCGUCACUGGGGGUGAACUCUGAGGGAUCAAAAGCCCACGCCAGGCAUGGGUUCUCUCACAGCCUGUGGAUCAGGAUGUAGCUCCCAGCUAUUGCUGCAGCACCUGCCUGCACACUGCCAGGCUUCCUGCCAUGACGACAAUGGACCAAACCUCUGAAACUAUAAGCCAGUCCCUAAGUAAAAGCUCUCUUUCCUAAGAGAUGCCUUAGUCAUAGUGGUUUGGUUUUUCCAUCACAAUAUAACACUGACUACAACACUGACUCUCCCAGAUAAGGAAAAAAGCAAACAAUAACCCACACAAUGUUUGUGGUCGAAGACCUAAGAACUUUUCUGUAUUUUCAAAACUGUGCUAUUAUUGUUGCUUUGCAUGUGUCUCACUGUGCAUGAGUGGUGUACAUGUGACCUCAGAGGACAGCUCUAGAAGACUGCGCUCUCCUUCUCCCUUUGCAUGGGCUCCAGGAACCAAGCUAGGGGAAUGGCCUUGUGUAAUGGGUACCUUUAACUGCUGAGCAUCUUGUCAGCUUUCAGAACUUAACUGGAAGCCAGGAGGUAGUAGUGCAUGCUGUUAAACCCAGGAUGCAGGAGGCAGAGGUAGGUAGAUCUCUAUGAGUUCAGGGCCAGCCUGGUCUACAAGCCUGGUCUACAAAGGGAGUUCCAGGAUAGGCUCCAAAGCUACACAGAGAAAUCCUGUUUCAAAAAUAAACAAACAAACAAAAUCUAACUUUUAGAAAUUACCUGAAAGAGGAGCUGGCUGGAUGAGUCGUGGGUAGUCAGUGGCAGUCCUCUGUUUUUUUCUGAGGACUAGAGUUCAUUUCCCAGCACCUACAUUGGGGGACUAAGAACUGCCUGCAACUCCAGCUCCAGGGGAUUCAGCGCCCUCCUACCUCCAUGGGCACUUGCGCGCGCGCACGCACACACACACACACACACACACACACACACACACACAGAAAAAUCCUAAUAGAAAAUUACCUGGAAGAACACAAAACCAUGAAGUUCCACUGUCGAACCAGAUGUCCAAAAUAUCCUGCCCCGGCACGUAUUCCAAAGCAUCGGGACCGCCAGCCUAUGGAGACAGCAGAGGAAGACUCAACCUACAGAGGCCACACCGUCACAGGAAAUCUCCAUGGAACCGAGUGAUCCCUGGAAACCAUGCAAGGCAAAGGCGAGCUCUCCAGAGCUGCCCUGAGGUCACACGCACAGCGUUUUAAGAAAGUGAAACACAACCAAUCAAAUUCACAGCUUUAAAAUGCACUUCACAGCUGCAUACAACCCCUGCUGCAGUAUGGAAAGUGAGUGGCCACGUGAUGACACUGCUACGGAGCAACAAUCACUUCUUCAUCUCCCGGUUAACUCCCAGGAUGCUCUCUGACAGAAGACAGACGCCAUAGGGUGUAUACACUGUGGCCGAGCUUACACAGCCCUGCUGCUCCAACAGGAGGGACUUCCUCCGUGGUAGCAUCUGUUUAGUCACCCAAAGACAGGCAGGACAACCAGGGCCCCAGGGAGGUUACAAAUACCCCAAGUUCAUUCCACCGCUGUGCUACAAACUAUGCUUCGACUGCAAGGAAAACUGCUCACUUCUAAUCUGCAUCCGCCUCUGCCUCUAAUUCUGAAAAGCAAACUCAGGUUUUCCAACACGGUCACUUAAAAUCCCUUUUACCUCCAAGAGUCACUCACAUUUUCACUACGGGCAAUUUACCUGCGCUACAACAUCCUCUGGGAGAAGCUGCUCAGGGCGGAGGGUCCACCAGACAUCGCUGCCAUGCUGCUCCACUAGCUUAGUAAGGUGCUCGAUGGUUUUGCUGUUGGGGAAAGAGGUGAAAUCAGCAACCUGUUAUCAUGAUGAAUGACAACCGCUUGUCACUUAUUGGUCCUCUAAUUCAGUAGAAUCUUAAAUCGCUUGCUCAGUACAAAUAAAAUCAUCUUGGUCAUACACAUCCCUAA